CUGGCUCAGGAUGAACGCUAGCUACAGGCUUAACACAUGCAAGUCGAGGGGCAGCAUUGGGAUAGCUUGCUAUUCAGAUGGCGACCGGCGCACGGGUGAGUAACGCGUAUCCAACCUCCUGCCAGUAGGGAACAGCCGGCGAAAGUCGGAUUAAUGCCCUAUGUUCUUCAAUGCGGACAUCUAAGUUGAAGGAAAGAUUCAUCGCUGGCAGAUGGGGAUGCGUCCGAUUAGCUUGCCGGCGGGGUAACGGCCCACCGGGGCGACGAUCGGUAGGGGUUCUGAGAGGAAGGUCCCCCACACUGGUACUGAGACACGGACCAGACUCCUACGGGAGGCAGCAGUGAGGAAUAUUGGUCAAUGGGCGUAAGCCUGAACCAGCCAAGUAGCGUGCAGGACGACGGCCCUACGGGUUGUAAACUGCUUUUAUGCGGGGAUAAAGUGCGGCACGUGUGCCGCUUUGCAGGUACCGCAUGAAUAAGGACCGGCUAAUUCCGUGCCAGCCGCCGC
rnacentral:rRNA from 1 species